AUGGCCGCCGGCACCAUGGCCAUGGGCACGCACACGAAGGAACAGGAGGUGUUCAGCGGCACGCACCAGUUUACCAUCGCCGGCUUCAGCCUAGAGAAGACCAAGGGCAUCCGAAACCCCGUGAGAUCCGGCGCCUUUGAGGUCGGAGGCUACAGCUGGAAGAUCCUGUGCUACCCUGCCGGCAAGGAAGAACGAGGCCGGGGCUACGUCUCGGCAUAUCUCGAGGUGGUGAGACCCGCCGGAGACAAGUUCAAGCUCAAGUUCUGCAUCACCAUCAUUGGGCCCGGGGGAAAGCGGCAGCCUAUCGUCUACUCCUGGUGGAACCGAUGGGCGGAAAGUGCCUCUGAUGCGAACGAACUGUCAUGGGGGAGCUAUCACGCUAUCAGCCUGCGAUCUGUGGAGUCGGGGUGCCUGGUGGACGACCGUCUCACGCUGAGCUGCACCGUCCAUGUCCAAAAGCUCGAGGCGUCCACCGCAAGCCGCUCCAUCGUCAAGGUUCCGCCCCCUGGCAUCAGCCAGGAUGUUGCGCGGCUCCUGGAGAGCGAGCUUGGGUCGGACGUCACGUUCCAAGUCGACUCCAACCACUACCACGCGCACAAGGCGGUUGUGGCGACGCGGUCGCCGGUCUUCGCCGCUCAGUUCUUCGGGCCGCUGGCGGACGGGUCCGGUGGCCGCUGCGUGAGGAUCCACGACAUGGCACCCGCAGCGUUUGAGGCCGUGCUGCACUUCAUCUACACUGACACGUUGCCGCCGCCUGUCAAUGACGACGAAAGUGUGUCCGCAAGCUGCACAGAGGUAGGAGAAAUAAUGGCGGCCGGCCAUUCAGCGGAAAGGCGUAGGGAUAUGGUCUGCGACUGGCUCGCCGCUGCGGAUCGAUAUGGCCUCGAGAGGAUGAGGCUGCUGUGUGAGAGCGUGCUGUGGGAGACCAUCCAUGUGGCGAAUGCUGCGGCCACGUUGGAGAUUGCUGACCGUCACCAUUGCCAACAGCUCAAGUCCUUCUGCAUAGACUACAUCGCCUCCCCUAAGGUGUUGCCUGGUGUGCUAGCAACCGACGGAUACAAGGAACUUAAGUUGAACUGUCCCUUGCUUGUUGCCGAUAUCUUGGAGAAGCUUGGAAGUGUGUGUUAA
rnacentral:rRNA from 1 species